UACGAAGGGGGCUAGCGUUGCUCGGAAUCACUGGGCGUAAAGGGUGCGUAGGCGGGUCUUUAAGUCAGGGGUGAAAUCCUGGAGCUCAACUCCAGAACUGCCUUUGAUACUGAAGAUCUUGAGUCCGGGAGAGGUGAGUGGAACUGCGAGUGUAGAGGUGAAAUUCGCAGAUAUUCGCAAGAACACCAGUGGCGAAGGCGGCUCACUGGCCCGGUACUGACGCUGAGGCGCGAAAGCGUGGGGAGCAAACAGG
rnacentral:rRNA from 1 species